rnacentral:misc_RNA from 1 species
GAUAAGAACGUAGCGAAAUGCGAUAAGUAGUGUGAAUCGCAGAAUUCAGUGAAUCAUCGAAUCUUUGAACGCACAUUGCGCCCCUUGGUAUUCCAUGGGGCAUGCCUGUUCGAGCGUCAUUUGUACCUUCAAGCUCUGCUUGGUGUUGGGUGUUUGUCUCGCCUCUGCGUGUAGACUCGCCUCAAAACAAUUGGCAGCCGGCGUAUUGAUUUCGGAGCGCAGUACAUCUCGCGCUUUGCACUCAUAACGACGACGUCCAAAAGUACAUUUUUACACUCUUGACCUCGGAUCAGGUAGGGAUACCCGCUGAACUUAAGCAUAUCAAUAAGCGGAGGA